AUGGGGUUCUUCAACGGCAAGACGAAGCAGACGACGACGCAGAAGCCAGAGCGGCGCGUGAAGGUGCGGGUGGAGCCGCCCGGGUACAGCCACCACGAGUUCGAGCUGCCGGCGUCGCACCUACGCAGCAGGCACUUCGCGUCGCUGAUGGCCAAGGCCAAGAAGGAGGACGGCGUCGAGGGGAAGGUGGUCGCCAUCCAGUGCGGGCUCGAAGACUUCCUCCUCGCCAUGGUGAAGACGAUUUCCCGAGCGCCGUUUGAUUCCUCGCCGAGAUGCCCUAUCCUCGGCUGGUUCUCAGCUCGGUCACGUUGA
rnacentral:rRNA from 1 species